CACCACUCAAGCCUGGCUUGGUAUUGGGCGAGGCGGCUUUACGGCCGCCCGCCUCAAAGUCUUCGGCUGGACCGACCGUCUCUAAGCGUUGUGACUUUGUUGAAUCGCUUGCGAGUAUGGGACGUCCUCGGCCGUUAAACCCAUUAUAAAA
rnacentral:misc_RNA from 1 species